UUGAUGCUGCUGCCAAUGGACCUGUAAGCCUUCGCAGCUACUCUCGGUCUGCAUCCAAUGGGCACAGCCGGCGUUACAGUGAUCCAGCCGAGAAUGGUGAUGUGAGAUCUGGUUCAAACUCGGGCAGUCGUCGUACUCCUAAUCGGGUGCCGCCGCCUCCGCCACCAACACAGUCAGGCUCCAAGUACUUUUAGGUGGCUUACAGAUUUUGGUUGACAAUUCAUAUUUUCUCUGCAUAUUUUUAGUGAGUGAAGGCCUGCUUAACCACUCAUGAUUCCAGUAGUUGGUUAAUCACUUCUUUAGAAUCUUCAAAAGAGGGUGCUUUGUGUAAAUAGGACUCUAUAGUUCCUGAGCUGAAAGUCAGGAUUUUACGGCUUGCCCCUUGUCAGAACUAUGAAUUCAAAGUGUAUUUGAAUUCCAUUUAUCAUAUUCUUCUAUUCAUUAUUUUGUUUUUGUUUUUGCUUUUGCUUUUGGCUCCUCCCCUCAUUUUUGGACGAUGGUAUAGUUGUAUUUGUUUGUGUCAGUUCUGGAUAUAUGCUUUCGGACUUUUGGCUUUGUAUCAUUUGGAAAAUUCUUGUAAGGGGAGAGAUAUAAAAAUAUUUCAUAUAUCUACUUCUCUAUUAAAGAUGCAACUUUUUGUUGUAUUUCUGAGUUGGGAUGUUGCUCGGCGAUUAGUUUUUUUGUUUUUUUUUUGACAGUAAUUGGUCUCAUUAUAAUAUAACUAACUCUUUUGAUUGUUACUGAUUUAGUGAAUCAAGGUGGCCAUCAUACGGGGCAUAUUUAAUAUGUUUUCCCUCUACGUUAUUUGUUUAAUUUUUAUUUUAUUUUUAUCAACUAAUUUUUAUGCACCUCAGUUAGUCUGUAACUGUACGAGUAUAAUGGUUUAUUUAUGUUUUUUUUUUUAAUAUUUUGAAGUAAUCUAUCUCUUAUCAAACUGCAACAAGUUAAUAGAUUAUUUUCGUUAGAGCCCGCGGACAGACGCAAAAGCCUAUACACUAGACAGUCAUUGCCGAUAGUUAUGGUGCGAACAAUUUGAGAAUGACUGUAGCUCUUAGUUUUUCUCUCUUAAUUUGCAAUGAUAGUUACAAGUAAAUUUGAGAUUUCUUCUUAUAAAAUGAUUUGUGAAAUUAAUGCGUUCACUUAAAUAUUAAUCUGGUAUAUUCUUUUAAUAUAAUUUUUUUUAAUUUAAACAUCCAAAUUGAUUAUAGAAUAAAUGUAGUAGACUCCAAUUAAUUUUGUAUUAUAUAUAUUAAUAUUUUUGUAACGUAAUUUCGUGACUUGUAUAUGAACAUUUUCCUUGUACAAUUUCUUUUAAUAAUUGCAAUAUAGUAUUGACUCAAUCCUAUUAGGGAUUUAUUUAUUUAUUUUUCUUUUUUUUUCUUUUUAAAUCUCGGCAAAGCUUAAAGAGGAGAGCCAAGAGAGCAAAUUUGUUAAACAAACAAAUUAGAAAAACGAAAGGCAUUAAGGUAAUAGCUGAAAAUCAUAAACAAUUGUACUUCCUACAUUGCGGCGUGGAAAUAUACGAAUAAAUUAUGAAGCAAAAAUUUUCAGACAUACUGAAGUUAAAAUUUUUAGACACAUUGAGUUCAGACCGUUAAAUAAAAUAAAUUAAUUUGAUUCCUUUUACUAUAACCUUUUUUUUCGCAAAAUUUGUUAAGGAAUAUGCACUAACAAAUGUAGCCAUAUCUAUGAUGGUACCUGAAACUUUUUCUCUAAUCUCUCCUAUUUUGUUCUUCAAUUAUUGCCGCUUUAUAAAUAUUUGUUUACGAUGAUCGAAAGAAAAAGUUUAGGUACUACAGUUACUUUUAGUCAUUAGAUAUAGUUAAUGUAAUUGUAUAACUGUGGAUUUAACGACUACAAAUAACUGUAAUACCAUACCACAGUUGCAACAUAAUUUUACCCCGUUAAUUGAGUGUGUUAAAUAGGUGUUCAGGGUAAUAAUGUUAUAUUUAUUUACAAUAAAUUAUUUUUAAUAGUAAUUAUAUUAUAGAUGUUUUUAUAAUAAUUUUUUAAUUAAAAUAUAAGUAUUUUUAAUAAUUUUUCAAUUAAGUCAAUCAGUCAAAGAUCCAGUGGUUAGAGCAGCAACUGUUAAAGAGAACCGAUGUGUUCUGCAUAGUCGCGAUCAUUUUGAUUCAGUAAUUGUUUUCAUCUCAUCAAAUAUCUUUCUAGUCAAUUGAAUUUUUGUUAUGGCUGCUUAUUCUUCUUCUCCUUCUUCUCCUCGAAACCGUAAGUAUGAUGUUUUUCAAAGUUUCAGAGGAGAGGACAACCGUGACAACUUUACUGGCCAUCUUUAUUCAGCCUUGUCUCAGAAAGGCAUUGAAACUUUCAUUGAUGACCAGCUUAACAGAGGAGAUGAAAUUUCACAGUCGCUUGUGGAUGCAAUUGAAGCAUCAGCUAUUUCACUCAUCAUUUUCUCUGAAGGGUAUGCCUCUUCCAGAUGGUGUCUCGAUGAACUUGUCAAAAUCCUCACACGUGAGGUGGCGAACUGGGUCUUUUGGGGAUUCAUUUUUGAAGCUUGAAGAAAUGUUCAAGGAGAAUUCAGAGAAGCUGCAGACUUGGAGGAAUGCUGAUACAACCUUCCACAUUCAGCUGGAUCAACCGGAUUAUUUACGAGAAGGGCAGCCCAUCGAUGAGUCUAAUUGUGUGCAGCCCAUGAAGGAAGCCUCAUCACAAGUUGAAGUAGACAUAGCUCGUGAGGAAGGGUAUACCGGCACAAGAGUGAGAAGAUCCCCUGGGUGGUUUAAAGAUUAUGUCGUAUAGUGAAAUUGAUAAAGCUUUAUAUUUUGCUGGUUUAUGUUGCUGUCAUAUUUUCUGUUACAAAGUUAUGCUGAGCUGUAUUCUUUUAAAAAGCCAAAAGACAGAGGAGUAUAUGUAUAGCAUAACUAAUUCGUGCAAAAGGAAUCCAGAAUGAAUCAUUUCUUUUUAACUUUUCUCUAUUCUUCUCUCACUCUCCAUCUCUCUCCCCACUCUUGCUCAUCUUUGUCAAUUUCUUUUGGAGUCAGCCCUCACUCGAAGAGUGCAAAUUUAUCGAUACAGCCUUGAUUGCAGAGAGGUGUAUCAAAUGCUUUGAAGGAAGCGGCCGGUCUGUCCGGCUUUCAUUCUCAGAACAUUAGGUAAUCAAAUUUCUUUUCUCAUACCAUUAUGGUGAUGCAACAGAAUGUUAUUUUCUGCUUGAUUAAUUACCAGCGCCCCAGCCAGUUAUAGUGAAUUUUUUUUUGUCAAGUAUGCUGAAUUAUGUACUUCAAUUUUAUUAGGCAUCCUAGUGUCUUCCGGCAAGUGAUUUGUGGAAUUGAUAUUUGACGGUUACAUUUGGUGUGCUAAAUUCUGUAUGUGUUAAACUCAUUUGAAAGAAUUUUGACAGAGUUAUUGAAAUCAGCAUUUGUGUGUUUUCAUUGGGUGUUCUUUCAUAUUUCAAGUAAUUCCAAUCUGUCACUCAUAUUCCUAUUUAAGAGUUAUUGUCAUAUUUUCGUGCAAAUCCCUCCUAUUUGAACUUAUUAUUUUACAUAUUUGCUAGGUCUGAAUCAGAACUUGUAAAGGAAGUUGUUAAUCAAAUUUUGAAGAGGCCGGCUGAAGUCUCUCCUUGUAGUAAUAAAAACCAGUUGGUUGGAGUUGAAUCAAGAGUUGAGGAAAUUGAAUCUCUACUAGGUGCUGAGUCGAAAGAUGUUUACGCUUUAGGGAUUUGGGGCACUGGUGUUAUAGACAGGACAACAAUUGCUAGAGCUAUUUUCAAUAAAAUCUCUAGUAACUUUGAAGGUUCUUGCUUCCUUCAAAAUGUUAGAGAAGAAUCACAAAGACCGGGAGGAUUAGGUUGCUUGCAACAAAAACUUCUUUCAAAAUUAUUGCAGGAUGGCAAUGUGAUUCCUGAUAUUGCCCUGAGCUUUAGACAGCUCAGCCGCAGGAAGGUUCUGAUUGUUCUUGAUGAUGUGACUUGUUUCAGACAAAUAAAAUCCUUAAUCGGAAGUCUUGAUUGGUACAUGGCAGAGAGUUGAAUCAUAAUAACAAGAAGAAAUCAACAAGUGCUUAGAAAUUGUUGUGUCAAAGAGAAAUAUGAGAUGAAGGAAUUAGGAGAUGAUCAUGCACUUGAGCUUUUUAGUCGACAUGCCUUCAAACAAAACAAUCCUCAUAUAGGUUUUGAGGAACUGUCAAGCAGGGUCACACAAUAUGCUCAAGGUGUUCCAUUAGCUAUUGAAAUUUUGGGUUGUUUUCUAUUUGAAAAAGAAAAACAAUUUUGGGAAAGUGCAAUAAACAAAUUGAAAAGAAUCCCUAAUAUGGAAAUCCAGAAGGUGCUAAAAAUAAGUUUUGAUGGUUUGGAUGAUGAAGAGAAAAAUAUUCUUCUAGACAUUGCUUGUUUCUUUAAAUGGAAAAAUAAAGACUUGGUCAUAAAAUUUCUUAAUGCUUGUGGCUUCACUGCACAAAUAGGAAUAAGUAGUCUUGUUGACAAGUCUCUUAUUUGUAUGCACGGCAACAAUAUAACAAUGCAUGAUCUUCUACAAGAAAUGGGUAGGGAAAUUGUACGGCAAGAAUCAACGAAUGAUCCAGCAAAACGUAGUCGGUUGUGGCAUCAUGAGGAUAUUAUCAAAGUCCUGACAUCUAAUACGGUAAGCAUUUUGUUAGAGAAUAUAUUAUUUUGGAAUGCUAUUUAAUAUUCAAAGUUUACUUAUAAUUGUAUAAAUAGAUGGGUUUAUAAAAUUUAUAAAAGAUUGGCAAUGAUUAAGUGGGAAAAAAAAAAGAAAAAUUGGAAAAAAGGAAACCAGUAGUACAUGAUGUAGCAAUAAUGUAUAAUUGCUAUGUCAAUUUGUAUAUAACAGUUUGCGGACAAGCAUUGAUAGUUUAUACGUUGUCUGCAUUGAUAGUUUAUAUGUUUAGUAUUACUUGUAUUAUCCUGUUUCUUUGUAAGUAGGUUUAGAUUUACCAGUUUGAUUGCCAAACAAUAACUAUCUACUUGAAUUGUAUAAAUUUGAUUUUAACAUUAUGGUCUUUUUAUUGAUUAUUAGGGGACUGAAGCAAUUGAAGGCAUUUGCUUGGAUAUGUCUAAAGUGAAAGAGAUCCAUCUAAAUCCUGAUACUUUCACAAAGAUGAGUAAAUUGAGAUUUUUGAAAUUCUAUUGCUCAAUCCAUGGAGAGAACAAAUGUAAGGCAUCUGAUUUCUAAGGUCCUGUAUUUGCUGAAGUGAGGUAUUUUCACUGGCAUGGAUAUCCAUUGAAAUCACUGCCUUCAAAUAUUCAUCCAGAGAAACUAGUUUUACUUGAAAUGCCUCAUAGCAAUAUUCAACAACUUUGGGAUGGUGUCCUGGUAUGUAUAUCUUAACAUAUGCAUGCAAUGUUUAAGUCAUAACAUUUAAUUAUCAUAGCAUGCUAAUGAUUUGUCUUGACCUCUUUUUUGUCUCAGCAGCGUUGUGGUAAGCUAAAGCAGAAAAUCAUCUCUGCCUGCAAUAUUUUUACCAAAACUCCAAACCCCUCGUUGAGUCAACCUCUGAACACGCUGGUUGUCCUGAAUCUAAGGCAUUGCAAAAGUCUGAAAAGUCUUCCAGCUGGAAUUCAUUUGGAAUUUCUUAAAGAAUUUGAUCUUUCAGGUCGUUCAAAACUGAGGCGGCUUCCAGAUAUCUCAUCAGCUGCUAAUAUAGAAGAGAUGCUUUUAAAUGGAACUGCAAUUGAAGAGCUGCCCUCAUCCAUCGAGUGUCUGUAUAAGCUUUUGCGCUUGGACCUUGAAGAUUGCAAAAGCCUUAAGAGUCUCCCAAGUGGCCUGUGUAAGUUAAAAUCAUUAAAAUAUCUUACUCUCAAUGGUUGCUCAAAUCUUCAGAGAUUGCCUGAUGAACUCGGAAAUUUAGAAGCUUUGUGGAGUUCGCAUGCUAUAAGAACUGCUAUAAGAGAAGUGCUAUCAUCUUUUUUCCGUUUGAACAACAUUGAUCUCUUAAGUUUCCAGAGAAGCAGGGGUCAUAAGCAGAUGGGUUUAUCAUUGCCUAUCAUGUUAUCUUUAGAUGGCUUGCACACUCUAACGUAUUUAAAUCUAACUAAUUGUGGCAUCACACGGUUACCUGAAAAUAUUGGCCAGUUAUCCUCGAGAGAAUUCCAGAAAGCAUCAUACAACUUUGUAAGUUGGGAAGGUUCUACUUAAGGUAUUGUGAGAGGCUUCAAUCCUUACCAAAGCUUCCAUGCAAACUACAUGAGUUGGAUGCACAUCAUUGCACGGCACUGGAAUCGUUAUCAGGUUUAUUCUCAAGUUAUGAAGCUUGUACUCAGUAUUUUGACCUGAGUUAUAAUUAUAAAUUGGAUCGAAAUGAGAUCAGAGGAAUUCUUGAAGAAGCUCUGCAAGAAAUUCAACUCUUGGCAACUGCACGAUGGAAAGAAGUAAGAGCGGAGUUAUUAAUUUCUUUUUUCUUCAAAUUAAAGUUGACAAUUAAUAUUUGAUUAAAAUUAUGAUUUUCUGUGGUACAGAUAUAUUAUUCUCAAAAAUAUGCACUGUUGGUUCGUGUCUUUUUUCCUGGGGAUGAAAUUCCGAUGAGGUUUAGCUUUCAAAGUAUGAAAUCUUCUAUAACCUUGAAGAUGCCACCAGGUUGGUUCGGUAAUAAAAAGGUACUCGGCUUUGCUUUUAGUGCUAUUGUGGCAUUUGGAGAACAUAAUGUCAGAGAAAAGAGGUGGUUCGAAUUGUUUUGUGAAUUCAAAGUCAGACCCAAAGAUUCGCAUGCCAUACAGAGAUUUAUGGGGAUGGUUGAUUAUGUAGAGUCAGAUCACUUACUUUUGGGAUACUAUUUCUUCGAUGAUCAGGAUUUGAAUGGUUUUUGGAAAUACAAUUGCAUUCUUGAGGCAGUUCAAUUCUAUUUUAAGGAGGAUUUUAUCGCUCUGAACGUUUGGAGUGUUGCCCGGUGAAAAAAUGUGGGAUCCAUUUAUUGUAUGUACCAGACUCUACAAAAUCAAUGGAAGAUCCAAGUGAAUUUUUCUACCAUAACCAUGAAGAGGAACGACACCCCAAAAGACUCAAAUAUUCUUGAAAACGUGUAUUGCAGCUGGUAUUUUUGAGAAGAGAUAUGUUAGAUUAAUUCAUCGGUACUGUUUGAUCUUAAAAUGUUGCUUUCCAAACAUUUCUUUUAUGAUUUUAUAUUUUUAUAUGAAGAUGGAAGUGACUUUUAGAUGUUUUUCAACUCUUUUAUUUUGAUAAAAGCUACAUUUCACGUCCAGUACUAUUGUUUGGUCCAAGCAGUUAUUGUUUGACUUUUGGUUGGUCUGGCUAGUGUUUAGAUCCUUGUGUAUUUGUGUUUAUUUGGUUUCUGCAUGAAAUGUAUAUUAAAUCAAAUUUACAAUGCAUGUAAGUCCGUUUAUAGUUUAGACAUAAUUUUCGGCCACUAUUACUUUAAGAUGUUCGGAUCAAUGCUUCCUUAUCAGUAGUAAAUUUUUGCUGAAUUCUUUUGGGAAAAUUUCUCUGCAACUAGCUUAUGUUGAAAUCUCUGUAGUCUUGUUUGGCUGGAAAGACAGCAUCAGGUGUUGGAGGUGAACUAGAAACGAACUUCAAAAAAGGCAACUGAGGUAGAUCAAGGGAUUGUGAACAGGGUAUGGGGUCCUUUUCCUGAUAUAAUCGGAUUACGACUUCAAAUGACAAAUGCAUUGAGUAGACACUUUUUCCUUUGAAAUGAGUAUCUAAACUAUGCUGCUCAAUGGUUCUAGUGUUAUAAAACUUUGGAAAUGAGUUACAUUUUAGCCUCUAUUCACUGAUUUUUAUACGUCUUUCCAUAUAAAUAUAUAGACAGAGGUACAUACCUAAUUCAACAUUUCUUCCUAUAUAGCUAGUAUUCAUAGAGAUGCACCGAUAUAUGGAGCAUUUUGCUGUUAGUAUUAACAACUUUUAUUUAUUCCUAUAAGUUCUUUGUAGAAACAAUCAGGUGAUGACUGGAAAUCUGCAUUUGAUGCUGCUGCUGCCAAUGGACCUGUUAAGCCAUCGCAGCUACUAUCGUUCUGCAUUCAAUGGUCAUAGCGGGGAUUACGGUGAUCUGGCCUAGAAUGGUGAAGUGAGAUCUGGUUCAAACUCCAGCAGUCAUCGUAAUCCUAAUGAGGUGCUGGCACCACCCCCACCAGCAGCAGAGUCAGGAGGCUAUAGGCACUUCCAGUUGGCUUACAGAUUUUGGUUGACAAUUCAUAUAUUCACUGCAAAUUUUUAGUGAGUGAAGCCCUGUUUAACCACUCCGUGAUUCCAGUGCUUGUUCAAAAAUCACUUUACUAGAAUCUUUAGAAGAGGGUGUUUUGUGUACAUAGACAUAGGACUCUAUACGGCUAGCUUCAUGUCAAAGCAAUGAAUUCAAAGUGUAUUCAAAAUUCAUUUACUAUAUUCUUUCUUCUUUUCAUUAUUUUGCUUUUAUUUUUGGUUCCUCCCCUCACUUUUGGACAACGAUAUAGAUGUAUUUGCUUGUAUCAGUUCUGGUUAUAUACAUACUCUUGGACUCGUGGCUCCGUUUAGAAAAAAAAAAAAAAUUCUUG
rnacentral:lncRNA from 1 species